CCUACGGGAGGCAGCAGUGGGGGAUAUUGCACAAUGGGGGAAACCCUGAUGCAGCGACGCCGCGUGUGGGAAGACGGUCCUCUGGAUUGCAAACCACUGUCAUGUGGGAGCAAAUUAAAAAGAUAGUACCACAAGAGGAAGAGACGGCUAACUCUGUGCCAGCAGCCGCGGUAAUACAGAGGUCUCAAGCGUUGUUCGGAAUCACUGGGCGUAAAGCGUGCGUAGGCUGUUUCGUAAGUCGUGUGUGAAAGGCGCGGGCUCAACCCGCGGACGGCACAUGAUACUGCGAGACUAGAGUAAUGGAGGGGGAACCGGAAUUCUCGGUGUAGCAGUGAAAUGCGUAGAUAUCGAGAGGAACACUCGUGGCGAAGGCGGGUUCCUGGACAUUAACUGAUGCUGAGGCACGAAGGCCAGGGGAGCGAAAGGGAUUAGAUACCCUUGUAGUC
rnacentral:rRNA from 1 species